GCAGUGAGCUGGACAGCCGCGCGGGCGGGGCGAAAGGCCCGCCUGUGAGGAAAGUCCGGGCUCCGCAGGGCAAGGAUAACGGGUAACACCCGCCGGGGGCGACCCUAGGACAAGUGCAACAGAGAUAUACCGCCGCGCCCCCCACAUGGAGGAGAAGCGCAAAACGGGUUGGCUCCCGAUGCAACUGUGGAGCUUCGUUUUGGCGGCGCGGUAAGGGUGGAAAGGCGAGGUAAGAGCUCACCCGAUGGCGUGUGAAAGCGCCCAUCGCUGUAAACUCUAUCCGGAGCAACGCCGUGGAGGGACAUACAGGCCGGCCCGGCCGUCCCGGGGAGGCGGCUAGAGCGCGUCAGCAAUGGCGCGUCGAGAUAGAUGGCUGUCUUAAAAGACAGGACCCGGCUUACAGGCUCACUGCACUA
rnacentral:RNase_P_RNA from 1 species